GUGCUAGCUUGGGCAGCACAUAUACUAAAAAUUGGAAUGAUAUAGAAAAGAUAAGCAUAGCCCCUGUGCAAGGAUGACUCAAAUAUUCUUGAAGAUAUAUGUCCUUAU